GUGCAAACUCGAUCACUAACUCUGCAUGAUGUUGCAGAUGUGAGGGGAACCAGGUUUGCUAAAGUAAUUGCAGUGAUAGAAGUGGAUUAACUUCAGAUCCUACUGAGGUUGCUUAUUCUAUCCUUGUACAAGG